UUCAGAGUUUGCACUUUGGUAACGGUGGCUACAGACAUCUUCCUCCUGGGCUGGAAGGGAGAGAAGAAGAGGUGAGACUGGAGCAAAGUGCCCCAGAUAGCUGCCAACAGGGCUGCAGCAAUAGUGAAAGUGAAAGGUGUAGUCUCAGCUCUUUUAUUCAUGUGUUGCCUGCUGAUCAUCACUGGUCAAGUAGAAAGGAAACAGCAGCUCUCAGACUAUGGCUAGUCACCUCCUGGAGCUGCUGCUGGUCUACUGAGAAACUGAGCAUCUGUUUAGAGUCACUCCUUCCACGGCACCCGAUGAUUGGGCCCUUCACAUGAAUCUCCCCUGUUCUUCCUUGGUUGUAGUUUGCUUUUAUUUGAAGGGGAGUAUCUCAGCAUCUGUCAUAACUUUCAAAUUAAUGUUAUAAAGGAUGAUAAUAAUGUUAGCCGGGAAACUAACUUGGGAGCUCAUUUGCGGAAAAAGAAUGGCACAAAAUUAUAACCCAC
rnacentral:lncRNA from 1 species